ensembl:lncRNA novel transcript, antisense to IFNAR1
GUUCCUCCACGCACGCGCCUUUCCUCCUAGCUAGCACCCCUUCUCCAAGCUCCCAUUGCCCCAUCCUAAUUGCAGCACCCCUGUGCGCGCGCGCCUUAGAAAUCGCAGGCCUCCUGCAUUCUCUUCUUCCUCACUCUUUCCGGCCUAUGGCCGGUCUGGAGCACUUCACCAUCGCAUUCCAGGACGACUCCCCCUCACAGGAGGCCUUGACCUUCACAGGAUCGCGGCACACACCUGCGCAGACCCAGCGACUUUGGAGUUCCCGCGUCUCUUCCCCAUGUCUGCAGUCGGAGGGCGCGGGUGGGCUCCUGGUCGCGGCCCGGCGCUCUUCGUCCUCGCCCUUCUCCGCCCGGGGCGCUUGCUGACCCUAGAGUCUUGGACAGUGGCGUUGGGAGUCCCCAGCGGCCUGGGAACCAGAUGAGGCUGGAAGGAGGAAGUGGCUGAGCGACCAGACCGUUGCUGUGUGCAGAGCGAGAGCGGGGCAGAGGCGGUCGAGCGCUCGUUUUCCGGGCGACUUGGCUGAGGGGCGAGAUGGUCCCUUGGAGAGAACAGCCACGGGCCCUGGGCCGAGGGGCUCCAAACAGCAGUCGCUAGGCUGUUUUGGUCGUCGGGCUUUAUCAGUAAACAAUUCGAGCCCAUGGUUCGAAUGAUUAUUUAAUUAAAUUCCUCAGUAAUAGAUCCAGUGCAUUGUGAAAAUAUGCGAAAUAAAAUUUAAAUGAUGAGAUAAAAUAAGGAA